CCCUUAGAUGUUCUGGGCAGCACGCGCGCUACAAUGGUCUUCGCAAACGGAUGCAUUCUCGAAGGAGAAUGCCAAUCUUGGAAUCUAUGCCUUGGUCGGGACAGUUGCUUGCAAUUUUUCGACUCGAACCAGGAAUUCCUUGUAAUCGUGAUUCAUCACAUCACGAUGAAUACGUCCCUGCCCUUUGUACACACCGCCCGUCGCUCCUACCGAUCGAACAGUUAGGUGAAUUGUUUUGAUCGAUAAGAUUUGACUAUGGUCAACUCUCGUUGGGAAAUUCUGUGAAUCUGACUGUUUAGAGGAAGGAAAAGUCGUAACA
rnacentral:rRNA from 1 species